GGUUCCGGGGAGUUCUGCCCCUUCCAAGGGGUGCUGGCCACGCAGAAGGCUUAACCUGGCCGGCGCGGGAAUGGGGUGCAGAGAGCAAAGAAAUGUGGCUUUGAUCUUAUGAAUGCCUUACUUUUACAUUAUUUGUACAGUUCUUGCAGUGAGAUUUCCGGACCACUGUCUUGUAUGUUUCCUAAGAAAAGCAAAAAGGGAAGAGAUUGAAGAGAAAGUAGAUUUUCAGCUACAAACUUUCAUCCAUUAGCUUUCAGCUUAAGCAAAUGUGCGCAAAGUUGUCAUGGAUCUUUGCGGUCAAUAAAAACCAAGCAAGAAGACUGAAUCCCAAGUCAUCUGGUAUAAAUGGAAGCAGUUUCUGUUAUGGUUCCACGCUGUCAGAAGGGUCAUCCUGGCUUAGGAGAGGGGCAGAAGGGGAAAUGCACGCGUGGAAACAGGACUGGGCAGGGAGGAUGUGACACUGUCCUCCUCACCAGGCCACGUUCCUGGCACCAACCAUAGUGUUUGUGUCAAUUUAAUUGUUCUUGUACUCUCAUAGAGGAAGCUGUGUCUUUCAUCCCCUUGUAAGAGUUUUCACUGAUGAAGGUGGUCUUUUAUCUUCAUAUCUUGGGAACUACUGAAACUGUUUCAAAGAGUCAAAGACACCAAUAACUAACAGAAAUUCUUGUUUUCAGGGGCAGAUAAGAAAAGAAACAAUUUGCUGAAACUCCCUCUGCUUAUAACAAAACUGACUGAAAUCAGCUGGAAUCAAUAUGGCCAAAUGCAGUUUGCACACAGCAAGCUUGCUGAUGUCACAGCCUGAAUUUCUACCGCAUGUUUCGUAUGAACUCCCUCCAAAUUUGCGCAUAGGACCUAUGAGGAAGCAUGAAGAGAGAGCCAUCCAUGCCAGAAGACUUCCCAGAUGUUCCCUUUGCUUCCACCAAUUACCUGCUAACCCCAGGAUCCAACCCUAAACCUUCUGUAAUAAAAUUACUGCCUUAAAGCCAGUACAAGAAGACAGGUUUGAACUGGACUCCUGUUUCCUCAGAAGUUAACUUGCAAUGUGAAGCUUUUCUUUUCUCAAAAACCUGGUGUCAUAGUGUUGGCUUCUAGUGCAGUGAGCCCCUUUUGCUGCAUAACACUACCUGGUAAUUUGACAUACCAGGUGGUUAGUAACUACUGACUGCCUCCAGGUUGCAACACAAUUAUUACCCACUUGGGUGAAAAGAGAAGACAGGAAAUAAAUAUUGGAGUCGGCUGGCAACCUGUUUACAAAGCAAUUUACAACAGUUCCUUAUUCUUAAGGGGUUAUUCUAAUGUAAGACCUCAGAGAAACAGUGCAGUGUGACAAAGGAGGAAUUUAUCAAAGGAGACAGAAAAAGCAUCAAGGCAAGCUGUGAAAUGGUGCAGUAGGAACCAAAUAGAGAGCCAAAGGAUCUCUCUGUCACUGCAGGCCCUUAGGGUAAGCAAAUCCUUCCCUGAUCCCUGGUCUCCUUAUCUGUAAAUGAGAAUACCAGCACCCACCUCACUGUGCUGUAAACAUGAUGAGUUCCAACAAUAAUUUACAAAUUGUAAAAUCACACAAAUCUAAGGUAUUGCUCUUGUUGCUAUUCUGAUCUUCAUUCCUUUUAUAGUCUUUCUACUUCAAAGUGUAUUUUUGCGUGUUCAAAGUGUAUUUUUGCGUGGGUCCAUUUUAUGGAGGGCGGUGUAGCACUAUUCCUGCCUUUGAAUUCUGGUUGCCUGAGGCAACCCUUCUAAAUGAUUAAGUAGAGUAUUUCUCCCCUUCUUUCUUCUCUCCCUCUACAAAUACUGACCAUGCACUGAAUAUGAGCUGUAUGAUGGCAUCGGGGCAACACCAUGAUUAUUAUAGUGAACAACUUCCUAGAAGAGGAGGUGCCUGAGCUGGGUCCUCAAGGAUGCUUGGAGUCAGCCAGUGCCUGACAUGAGAAUCACAGCCUUGGCGAGAAAACAGCCGCUGCAGGGAGUGGUGGCCACAGUACUCUCGGUAUCCCUCCCCUGCGUCCACUUCCCACCACCCCUCGGAGGGACCAGCACACACGACAGUGACCGGGGCAUGUGGCAAGAGCGUGUGAGAGAAUAUCUACCCUGAGGCAUGAAAACACGGCUUCCGCUCGGCUGUUUCCCAGCUUGGUUUCUUAGAAAUCUAUGUCAUUAUCUUUCUGCUGGGAUUGUCAGACCUGAUUUUGAGAGCAUUUAAAACCUGACCCCUGAUGGAGCCUCU